GAGAAUGUGAAGGGCCAUCGGAUUUGGGAUUGGAAUCCUGAUGGUUGUGAGAUUGGAAUAUGUGGUCCUCAUUGAAAGGCAUUCGAAAAGAGAUUCAGAUUCAAAAGACAUCCAAACAGAAUUCCAGGAGAAAAACUAUCCUUGUAUUUUGAAUUUGAAUCCAACUCCGAAGUUGGAUUCUUGUUUGCUGCUCUCGCGAAGG
rnacentral:misc_RNA from 1 species